UGAGCACAGAGGCUGUUAGGAGACA
rnacentral:miRNA from 1 species